CUGAUCAAUGAUGAUGACGGAUGGCGUAUGAUUCACUGUGAUAAAUACGUGUCUGGAAGUCUGAGGUCACA
rnacentral:snoRNA from 1 species